rnacentral:tRNA from 1 species
GCGCCAGUAGCUCAGCCCGGAUAGAGCAUCGGACUUCGGAUCCGUGUGUCGGGGGUUCAAAUCCUCCCUGGCGCGCCA